GCGGACGUGGCGAAACUGGUAGACGCAGCAGACUUAAAAUUUGCCGCCUUCGGGCUUGCGGGUUCGACCCCCGCCGUCCGCACCA
rnacentral:tRNA from 2 species